AUUGAACGCUGGCGGCAGGCUUAACACAUGCAAGUCGAGCGGAGAUGAGGUGCUUGCACCUUAUCUUAGCGGCGGACGGGUGAGUAAUGCUUAGGAAUCUGCCUAUUAGUGGGGGACAACAUUCCGAAAGGAAUGCUAAUACCGCAUACGUCCUACGGGAGAAAGCAGGGGAUCUUCGGACCUUGCGCUAAUAGAUGAGCCUAAGUCGGAUUAGCUAGUUGGUGGGGUAAAGGCCUACCAAGGCGACGAUCUGUAGCGGGUCUGAGAGGAUGAUCCGCCACACUGGGACUGAGACACGGCCCGGACUCCUACGGGAGGCAGCAGUGGGGAAUAUUGGACAAUGGGGGGAACCCUGAUCCAGCCAUGCCGCGUGUGUGAAGAAGGCCUUAUGGUUGUAAAGCACUUUAAGCGGGGAGGAGGCUACUGAGACUAAUACUCUUGGAUAGUGGACGUUACUCGCAGAAUAAGCACCGGCUAACUCUGUGCCAGCCGCCGCAGUAA
rnacentral:rRNA from 1 species